GCCUGGCUGGCCUAGUCGGUGGAGGGUGCAAGUCUUGACCUUGAGAUUGUGGGUUCGAUCCCCACCUUGGGUG
rnacentral:tRNA from 1 species